ACUAUUUUGGCAGAUAAGUGUGUUAAAUUUAGAAUUUAUUUAUGUAAUUUAUAUUACAAGUAGUA
rnacentral:tRNA from 3 species